GAAAGGCACCAACGCUAUGAAUCGCACCAAUUUCUUUUACAAUUAGUCUAAAAGUUUUUUUUUCUUUUUUUUUUAACCACCAUGGAACAAUGAAACAAUCCCUUCCGAUGAACUUUUUGGCUUAGAGCUAUUUGAUCAACCUGAGCAGAGAAUAAAGCACUUCGAAUAAAACUAAGUGGUGGUGUAAUUUACAUACCAAUGUCACUUGCAUCAAAUUAAAAAUUAAAUUUAGUUGGCA
rnacentral:lncRNA from 1 species